AACGAAUGCUGGCGGCAGGCCUUACACAUGCAAGUCGAACGUGAAAGUCCUUCGGGAUGAGUAAAGUGGCGCACGGGUGAGUAACGCGUGGGAACAUGCCCUUCAGUACGGGAUAACAGCGGGAAACUGCUGCUAAUACCGUAUAUUCGCUACGGGGGAAAGAUUUAUCGCUGAAGGAUUGGCCCGCGUUAGAUUAGCUAGUUGGUGAGGUAAUGGCUCACCAAGGCUACGAUCUAUAGCCGGUCUGAGAGGACGAUCGGCCACACUGGAACUGAGACACGGUCCAGACUCCUACGGGAGGCAGCAGUAGGGAAUAUUGGACAAUGGGCGAAAGCCUGAUCCAGCCAUGCCGCGUGAGUGAUGAAGGCCUUAGGGUUGUAAAGCUCUUUUGGCGGGGAAGAUAAUGACGGUACCCGCAGAAUAAGCCCCGGCUAACUUCGUGCCAGCCGCCGCCGUAA
rnacentral:rRNA from 1 species